CAGUCGCCGCGGUAACACGGAGGGCGCGAGCGUUACCCGGAUUUACUGGGCGUAAAGGGCGUGUAGGCGGUCUGGGGCGUCCCAUGUGAAAGGCCACGGCUCAACCGUGGAGGAGCGUGGGAUACGCUCAGGCUAGAGGGUGGGAGAGGGUAGUGGAAUUCCCGGAGUAGCGGUGAAAUGCGCAGAUACCGGGAGGAACGCCGAUGGCGAAGGCAGCCACCUGGUCCACUUCUGACGCUGAGGCGCGAAAGCGUGGGGAGCAAACCGGAUUAGAUACCCCAGUAGUCCCUGUCUCUUAUAC
rnacentral:rRNA from 1 species